CCUACGGGAGGCAGCAGUGGGGAAUAUUGCACAAUGGGCGAAAGCCUGAUGCAGCGACGCCGCGUGAGCGAAGAAGGCCUUCGGGUCGUAAAGCUCUUUCCUAUGGGAAGAAAGAUGACGGUACCAUAGGAGGAAGCCCCGGCUAACUAAGUGCCAGCAGCCGCGGUAACACGUGGGGGGCGAGGGUUGUCGGGAAUGACUGGGCGUAAAGGGUACGUAGGCGGCUAGAUAAGUCGGAGGUAAAGGGCAGAGGCUUAACCUGGGUAAGCCUUUGCAACUGUCAGGCUUGAGUCAAGGAGAGGAAAGCGGAAUUCCUGGUGUAGCGGUGGAAUGCGUAGAGAUCAGGAGGAAUACCAGUGGCGAAGGCGACUUUCUGGACUUUGACUGACGCUGAGGUACGAAAGCGUGGGGAGCAAACAGGAUUAGAUACCCUAGUAGUC
rnacentral:rRNA from 1 species